rnacentral:rRNA from 2 species
UUGACCUCAAAUCAGGUAGGACUACCCGCUGAACUUAAGCAUAUCAAUAAGCGGAGGAAAAGAAACUAACAAGGAUUCCCCUAGUAACUGCGAGUGAAGAGGGAAAAGCUCAAAUUUAAAAUCUGAUAGUCUCUGGCUGUCCGAGUUGUAAUUUAGAGAAGUGUUACCCGUGUUGGACCGUGUACAAGUCUCCUGGGAUGGAGCGUCAUAGAGGGUGAGAAUCCCGUCUUUGACACGGACUACCAAUGCAUUGUGGUGCGCUCUCGAAGAGUCGAGUUGUUUGGGAAUGCAGCUCUAAAUGGGUGGUAAAUUCCAUCUAAAGCUAAAUAUUGGGGAGAGACCGAUAGCGAACAAGUACCGUGAGGGAAAGAUGAAAAGAACUUUGGAAAGAGAGUUAAACAGUACGUGAAAUUGCUGAAAGGGAAACGCUUGAAGUCAGUCGCGUUAGCUGGGGAUCAGCCUUCCUUUUGGUUGGUGUAUUUCCUAGUUGAUGGGUCAGCAUCAGUUUUGACCAGUGGAUAAAAGCUUGAGGAAUGUGGCAUCCUCGGAUGUGUUAUAGCCUCUUGUUGUAUAC